GAACGGUCUGGAAAGUCCGGCGAUACAGGGUGAUAGCCCCGUACACGAAAGCACACAUGCUGUGAACUCGAAGAGUAGGGCGGGACACGUGGUAUCCUGUCUGAAUAUGGGGGGACCAUCCUCCAAGGCUAAAUACUCCUGACUGACCGAUAGUGAACCAGUACCGUGAGGGAAAGGCGAAAAGAACCCCGGCGAGGGGAGUGAAAAAGAACCUGAAACCGUGUACGUACAAGCAGUGGGAGCCUCUUUAUGGGGUGACUGCGUACCUUUUGUAUAAUGGGUCAGCGACUUAUAUUCUGUAGCAAGGUUAACCGUAUAGGGGAGCCGAAGGGAAACCGAGUCUUAACUGGGCGUUAAGUUGCAGGGUAUAGACCCGAAACCCGGUGAUCUAGCCAUGGGCAGGUUGAAGGUUGGGUAACACUAACUGGAGGACCGAACCGACUAAUGUUGAAAAAUUAGCGGAUGACCUGUGGCUGGGGGUGAAAGGCCAAUCAAACCGGGAGAUAGCUGGUUCUCCCCGAAAGCU
rnacentral:rRNA from 1 species